CCUUUUUCGAGUACCCAACGUUUCCUCGGCGGGUCCGCCCGCCAACGGGGACACAACCAAAACCUUUUUUGCAACCUGACAUCAGUCUGAAUCAAAAACAAAUAAAUCAAAACUUUCAACAACGGAUCUCUCGGUUCUGGCAUCGAUGAAGAACGCAGCGAAAUGCGAUAAGUAGUGUGAAUUGCAGAAUUCAGUGAAUCAUCGAAUCUUUGAACGCACAUUGCGCCCUUUGGUAUUCCUUAGGGCAUGCCUGUUCGAGCGUCAUUUAGCAACUCAAGCUCAGCUUGGUGAUGGGCGCCUGUCCACCCCGGAGGACUCGCCUCAAAGUCAUUGGCGGCCGUUACGUUGGCUUCGAGCGCAGCAGAAACGCGAUACUCGAGGUCCGGCGGGACGCGUCCCCCAGGAAGCCUCUUUCUUAGUUUGACCUCGGAUCAGGUAGGGAUACCCGCUGAACUUAAGCAUAUCAAUAAGCGGAGGA
rnacentral:rRNA from 1 species